AUGCUUAUCCGGCAGGGGGUACCAGGAUCACGAAGCUGGUUUUCCCAGGGCCGGGCUCAUCCUUCCCUCUCCGGAUGUGCUGACCCCUGCGAUUUCCCCAAAUGUGGGACAUUCGACUGCAUAAUUUAUGGUAGUGGGGGACUACAUUAGCCUUAA